rnacentral:misc_RNA from 1 species
UGGGACUACCGGGGUUUCUAAUCCCGUUCGCUCCCCUAGCUUUCGUGCCUCAGCGUCAGAAGAGACCCAGUGAGCCGCCUUCGCCACGGGUGUUCCUGAUGAUAUCAACGCAUUUCACCGCUCCACCAUCAGUUCCGCUCACCUCUGUCUCCCUCAAGCCUUGUGGUUUGAAGCGCAGUUCCACGGUUGGGCCGUGGGAUUUCACACCUCACCUACAAAGCCGCCUACGCACUCUUUAAGCCCAGUAAUUCCGAAUAACGUUCGUCCGGUACGUGUUACCGCGGCUGCUGGCAC